rnacentral:rRNA from 1 species
AUAUCAGUCAUGCAUAGCAUAUCAAUAAGCGGAGGAAAAGAAACUAACAAGGAUUCCCUAGUAACGGCGAGUGAAGCGGGAAGAGCUCAAAUUUGAAAUCUUCAAGGUUCUACCUUGACGAAUUGUAGUUUAUAGAAGUGUUUUCUGUUAGUGGAGUGGCAAAAGUUCUUUGGAAUAGGACAUCAUAGAGGGUGAGAAUCCCGUAUUUGGUCAUUCCUUCCUAGCGUUGUGAUACACUUUCAACGAGUCGGAUUGUUUGGGAAUGCAGUCCAAAAUGGGUGGUAAAUUUCAUCUAAAGCUAAAUAUUGGCGAGAGACCGAUAGCGAACAAGUACCGUGAGGGAAAGAUGAAAAGAACUUUGAAAAGAGAGUUAAACAGUACGUGAAAUUGUCAAAAGGGAAGCGUUUGACACCAGUGUUGUUUUUCCGAAAAUCAAUUACGAAUGUUUUAUUUUUGAGGAGUUAUGACUUCAUCGGCUUGCUUCUCUCCUUAUCGAAACUUUCUUAAUGCACUUUUCGGUUAACAAGUCAACAUCAAUUUCUUUUGUUGUAAAAGGGUAUGAGGAAGGUGGCUUUCUUUUCGGAGAAAGUGUUUAUAGCCUUGUAGCCUCUGCAAUCGGAGAGAUUGAGGUCUGCAGCGUAGAUCCUUCGGGGUUAGAUACGUUUGUGCUAAGUUAUAGCUUUUCAUAGACAACUUGUUGACUAUGUUAGUCUUGUAGCUUACUCGCUUUGACGCUAUUUUACCUACGCUUAGGAUGUUGAUCUCUCACAGUCGAGC